UGGGCGUAAGCGCGCGCAGGCGGUUUCUUAAGUCUGAUGUGAAAGCCCCCGGCUCAACCGGGGAGGGUCAUUGGAAACUGGGGAACUUGAGUGCAGAAGAGGAGAGUGGAAUUCCACGUGUAGCGGUGAAAUGCGUAGAGAUGUGGAGGAACACCAGUGGCGAAGGCGACUCUCUGGUCUGUAACUGACGCUGAGGCGCGAAAGCGUGGGGAGCGAACAGGAUUAGAUACCCUGGUAGUCCACGCCGUAAACGAUGAGUGCUAAGUGUUAGAGGGUUUCCGCCCUUUAGUGCUGCAGCAAACGCAUUAAGCACUCCGCCUGGGGAGUACGGUCGCAAGACUGAAACUCAAAGGAAUUGACGGGGGCCCGCACAAGCGGUGGAGCAUGUGGUUUAAUUCGAAGCAACGCGAAGAACCUUACCAGGUCUUGACAUCCUCUGACAACCCUAGAGAUAGGGCUUCCCCUUCGGGGGCAGAGUGACAGGUGGUGCAUGGUUGUCGUCAGCUCGUGUCGUGAGAUGUUGGGUUAAGUCCCGCAACGAGCGCAACCCUUGAUCUUAGUUGCCAGCAUUCAGUUGGGCACUCUAAGGUGACUGCCGGUGACAAACCGGAGGAAGGUGGGGAUGAC
rnacentral:rRNA from 1 species